UGAGUCGGCCGGGUGAUCGCGGCAUCCUGUACCGCCACGCAUGUGGGCAGGCAGGGGUCGAGGAAAGUCCGGACUCCACAGGGCACGGUGGUUGUUAACGGCAACCCGGGGCAACCCGCGGGAAAGUGCAACAGAGAGGAGACCGCCCGGAUAACCGGGUAAGGGUGAAAGGGUGCGGUAAGAGCGCACCGGCGGCGGUGGUGACACAGCCGGCCAGGUAAACCCCACCGGGAGCAAGGCAAGAGCCGCUGUCUUUUGGGCAGCGGUUGUCGGAUGUGAAGGCGGCCCGCUAAGUCCGAAGGUAGCUGCUUGAGGCGCCCAGCAAUGGUCGCCCUAGAUGGAUGAUCACCACCUCCACGUGAAUCACGUGGAGAGACAGAAUCCGGCUCAUAGGUCGGCUCACUCG
rfam:Corynebacterium tuscaniense DNF00037 contig50, whole genome shotgun sequence.